rnacentral:tRNA from 1 species
GCCCUUUUAGUUCUAGUGGUAAAACAGUUGACUCGUAACCAACCAUCAUGAGUUCGAUUCUCAUAAGGGGCA